AAUUCACUGGAAAGGAUUCUUUUUUUUUAACUAUCCUUCACACAAUGUCUUUGUAUUAUUUUGUAUGCACCACUGUCUUGGACCCAGAUAUUCUUAUGUAUUGAACAAGGAUUGUGUCCUUCACAGGGAUACCUGAGAAAUAGUCUUUUCUUGUAAGCCUCAAACACGUGCUUCCAAAAAGCAAUCAUGGUGAGUGCUGAGAAAACUUCUGUAACUGGCACCAUUUGAUCCGUUUAUUGUUUACACCAAAUGAACAGGAGGGGGAGCCAACGUACUAAAAAGCUGCAGAAGAAAUCGUAACACGCACUUGAAGAAAGAUGACAUCUCUCUCUACACCACCAUGCAAUGACACAUCAGAAACAACUCGCCACAGAAAGAAGCAAUCCAAAGGGACAGCUUUGCAGUUGAAAGGAUGCUAGUUCUCUGAGCUGCUCUGUGCCAAUCCAGAACUCAGCUGAAAGUCAAGUCAUCGAGAAAGUCAUCAACAAGUGAAGAUAAAAAGACCCAAAGCCCAGUGAAUCCACGUCUACUACAGUGCCAUCUGUCUGGCUCUUUAACCGUCUGGCUCUUUAACACCAGUUUUCAGUUUCUAGAUAGUGCAGCCUGAUGCUCUGGCUGAUCAGGUUAGCCAAAUUUAUGGUUUCCUCUAAGAAAAUGGUUUCCAAUAACCUUUUUUCAUUAUUUCAAGAUUUUAAUAAAACUAUUCCUUUGAUAAA